GAUGAAGAACGUAGCGAAAUGCGAUAAGUAGUGUGAAUUGCAGAAUUCCGUGAAUCAUCGAAUCUUUGAACGCACAUUGCGCCUUCUGGUAUUCCGGAAGGCAUGCCUGUUCGAGAGUCAUUAACAACCGUUUCGAUCCCUUUCUUUCAGAAAUUACAAAGAGGAAAAGGGUUUGGUUAUGGUGGAGGAGGGAAAGGGAGCGUUAAGCCUGUAAAAAAAGAGGCUGUGUUCCGCCUCCCCCCCAAAAUUGUACAGGCGGUCGUGUGCGCCCACGCAUCGAGGUGUUGUAAAAGCUGCCACGGCACUUUUCACCUGUGCAGUGCGAGAUUGGCCAGCCGGUUUAAAAACCCCUCCAAACAAUCAAAGGUUGACCUCGGAUCAGGUAGGGAUACCCGCUGAACUUAAGCAUAUCAAUAAGCGGAGGA
rnacentral:misc_RNA from 1 species